rnacentral:lncRNA from 1 species
ACAGAGGUCAAUUUACUAUUAAAGUAUAAAAUGUACAUUAGUUUCGAUCUACAUUUUAAUUAUUUUAGGCUGGCAGAGAAAGAACUGUUUCAUAUUUUACCAUCGUACAUAUAAAAUAAAAUAUUCAAUACUUAUCUUGUUUUCAAGAUUAAAAAAAGAAGCUCCCGCAAAGGAACAAGAACCUGUGUCUAAGGAAAUUGCAAGACCUAACAUGGCUGAAAGAGAAACAGAAACAUCAAAUUCUGAAAGGUAAAUAUAAGGAAAAACUG